rnacentral:lncRNA from 1 species
UUACCCAGCAAAUUCCCAAGGUUAGACUUUUAAAUAAAAGGUGGUGGUUGGUUUUUGGUUUUUGGUUUUUGUUUUUUUUUUUGUGCUAAGGCUCAUAUUGUUACACAUGUAAAUAAUGAACAUAUUGUUGUAUAUCACCAGGUCUUUAAAAAAAAAAGAAUUUGGUCAUUGUGUUCUUAUGCAGCACAAAUGUCUUGUGCUUCGUAAACUGCCCAUUUGUUUCCUCCAUUUCAGACUGCCUACUCUUCCCCUUCCAACCCAAAGGAAAGUGACAAAGUUCUGGUCCAUCAGCUUGGCUACUUUCAAACUAGGCCCAGUUAUAGUUUACAGUAGAGUGUGGCUCCCGAGCCACUAUCCAAGCUUUGAUCACCCCAUCUACCCAAUCACCUUCCCCUGACAAGUCUGUACAAUAAAUAAUUCAAGGUGUAUUUAAAAUAUUAGUCACUUUGCUGUUGUUGCUCUGCGUUUUCCCUUCUUAGUAUUAGCUAAGGGUUAUUCCUCCUCUCUCUCUCUCUCUCUCUCUCUCUCUGUCUCUCUCUCUCUCUCUCUCUCUCUCUCUCUCUCUCUCAUUGAUCUUAGAGACUCCCUCUGCUUCUUCCUGGCCUCCAGUGUUUGCUCAUUACCAUACUCAUGAUCUGGUUUUGUAUGAAUGGUUUUCAACAUUCAGAGAAUAAUUGGUUCUUAUAUCAAAUGCAGUAUAUACUAUUCAUAGUUUUAUCAAUAAGUGUAAUAUUUUAAAUAAUUUUAACAAUUAAAUUUGUUUUUUAAAUUAUAUAUUUGUAAAGUAUUUAUCCUGUUGGAAGCAACAAUAUAUUGUUGUAUUUAUUCGUUUAUUUUUAUAAUAAAUGAUCAACCUCUUCAAGCUAAAUCAAAAAUGACACUUUUAUAUAUCUAUACAAAAUGCAUUUAAAGAGAUGGGCACAUAUGCACCAAUUUGUAUGUAAAUAGAGUAAGAGCCUACAAUAACUUGUAACUUAUGGAACUAAAUUGAAGGAAGAAAUAUUCUCUCCACAGGGAGUUUAGUUUGCCCAAGUUCCAGGGUAAUUAAUCAACUGUAAAAUAAAUGCAACAGGUACCCGGCACUAGGUACAGGCUUGAAACUCGUUAUUUAGCAUGCGGGCCUGCUUUUUCUCACCGUUAAGAUGGAAAGAUGUUAAAGAACCUUGUUCUUUCCGGAAAUGCACGGGGUCGGCUCUCUUAGAGCAGAUGCUUCAGUGCAAAACAACCCAUACCUGGCUGUGCGUGCGUUUCUGUGCUGGGGAAGAAGGGAAGGGCCCCUGAGAGUUUGAGUCUUUCAGUGACAUCUUUCAGGUGAUACAGUGAAAAAAAGUAGUGCUAGGUGUAACAGUGACAGCAAAAAUGUUUAGACCCUUUUAAAACGGCUGAGACUGAAAGCUCCCCUUCUCCAGGUCCCGCCGCAGAGGACAGAAGUAAUCAGUGCAGG